GAAAGUAACCCUAAAUAUAUUAAAUGUGAUUUGUGCUUAUACGAUUCUGUGUUAUGUACUAAUCAACAUAUGUGUUAUUGUAGGAUGUCGAUCGAUAGCUUGAUGUAUAGAGAUAUACACGCGGUGAGCGAAGAGCUUGUGAACCAAGUAGAGCCUGUACCUAUGCCGGUGGCGGAGGUACCAAUAGUGAUUCUAGAGGAGUCGGAGGC
rnacentral:lncRNA from 1 species